AGCGGAGAUUUAUGCAGAUGGGAGUGGAGGGGCCAGCCCGGCCCAAAGGUCGUCAAACAAAUCGCCCAAGUCCAGAAGCACUCAGAGCCAGAAAAGUCAGAGAAAAAAAAAAGACAAACGACAAAGCAAAAAAUAAAAUAAAACCCAAACGAAUUCAAUUCAAUUUCAUUCAAUCAACAAAGGAACAACAAACACAGAAACAAAGUUCAAGGGCAUUUACAACUAAGAAACGAUAGGAAACAAUUUGUUGGCGCUUAUUAUUAUCUGCAAGGCCACCGAAAAUCAUAUAAAUCAAUAAAAAUAAAGGGAUUUUGUAUUAAAUAUUGAUUGAAAAGUUUGCUUUCGGAAAUCGCACCAAAGUGACAUGGGCCCACAUGGGAAAAAGUGUAUGUGAACCGUAUACGAAUGGAGAACAGAACAACGUGGUCAAGGAACGGGAACGGAAUGGUGGUGGUCAUAGGGAAUUGCCUGCAAAAUUGGCAGGAAAGCCAAUGGGCGUGGCACUUCAGACGAUUACCGUCCAGCUCAUUUGGCAGCCAAUUAAGAGUAAAUCUAAGCUCCCAACUUCAAAGUCCACCUUCCAUUUCCUCCUCGAAAUUGCGAAGGCAAUCGAGGAGAAUAAGAUGUGUGAGAAUGAAAAGAUUAAUGAAGGUAAAUAA
ensembl:ncRNA lncRNA:CR44692 long non-coding RNA:CR44692